rnacentral:rRNA from 1 species
CAGUAGCCACGGUAAUACGUAGGUGGCAAGCGUUGUCCGGAAUUAUUGGGCGUAAAGGGCUCGCAGGCGGUUUCUUAAGUCUGAUGUGAAAGCCCCCGGCUCAACCGGGGAGGGUCAUUGGAAACUGGGAAACUUGAGUGCAGAAGAGGAGAGUGGAAUUCCACGUGUAGCGGUGAAAUGCGUAGAGAUGUGGAGGAACACCAGUGGCGAAGGCGACUCUCUGGUCCAUUCCUGACGUUCAUACACGAAAGCGUGGGGAGCAAACAGGAUUAGAUACCCCCGUAGUCCCUGUCUCUUAUAC